rnacentral:rRNA from 1 species
GAUGAACGCUGGCGGCGUGCUUAACACAUGCAAGUCGAACGAUGAUCUCCAGCUUGCUGGGGGGAUUAGUGGCGAACGGGUGAGUAACACGUGAGUAACCUGCCCUUAACUCUGGGAUAAGCCUGGGAAACUGGGUCUAAUACCGGAUAUGACUUGUCACCGCAUGGUGGUGGGUGGAAAGCUUUUGUUGGUUUUGGAUGGACUCGCGGCCUAUCAGCUUGUUGGGGGGUAAGUGGCCUACCAAGGCGACGACGGGUAGGCCGGCCUGAGAGGGUGGACCGGCCACACUGGGACUGAGACACGGCCCAGACUCCUACGGGAGGCAGCAGUGGGGAAUAUUGCACAAUGGGCGCAAGCCUGAUGCAGCGACGCCGCGUGAGGGAUGAAGGCCU